AUUUUGUACGUAUGUUGGCGAAGUCAUCACGACAAGAUACUGCCAUAGAUUCAACGUUCCAGCAAAAAAAUUAUGAAUCAAUCGGAUAUCGUCUUAACUCCGGUCAGUAAGGGCCCGAAAAACAUAACUUGGCGUAAAGUCUUGGCAAUGGUUUUGUUGCUUGCGUUUGUUAUCGCUCUAGUUGUGACAUUGAUACUUCUAUUGCAAAAAGAUGAAACACCUACAAAUGAAAUACCGAGUACUACAGAAUUACAAUCAGAACUCAAUUGUACCAUAGCGGAGACAUUGCCAUUGGAUUGCAAGGAACUAUAUAUGAAUGGCAUAAGAAAAUCCGGUGUGUACACUAUCUACCCAUGGGAGAAGACUGACCCUAAUUGCCGCCCUCUCCAAGCCUACUGUGAUAUGGAGACAGAGGGAGGCGGGUGGACGGCAAUACAAAGACGAGUAAAUGGAGAAGAAAGCUUCAAUCGAAAUUGGACGGAGUACAAACUUGGAUUUGGAACAUCUUAUGGUGACUAUUGGAUCGGAAACGAUGCUAUACAUCAGUUAACAUUUGGACGAAAUUCGUCUUUGUAUGUAACAAUAACGCCAAUGAACGGUAGUGAUCUUUCUUUCAAGAUGUAUCAUCAGUUCUACCUUUUUGGCGAGGACCAAAACUAUAGAAUUCAAAUUGGAAACUCUGGAAGUGGAAAUAUAGGCGAUAAAAUGAAAUGGUAUAGAUGGCCAUUUUCUACAUUCGAUGCCGACCAUGACACCCAUGCAAUUAACUGUGCAGCAAAAUACUUAGGAGGCUGGUGGUUUGCUGGAUGUCAUGGUGAGUUUCUCAAUGGUCCUUGGCACUCGGAUGACUGGAGUAGUCCUUGGUAUCCGCAAUAUUCAAACGGGAGGCAGGUGAAUGGAACAUCUAUGUUAAUCAAAUAACAUUAAAGGAUAUAAAUAUCAGUUUACAAGAACAAGUUAAAUGUAUGUUGUGUAACAACACAUAAAAUUCGUUUUUCACAAGUUUAUGCAUGAUAAAUAUACCCUCAACAUAUAGUUUAUAACAUAGUUUUAAAAUCCGUACAAUAUUAGUUGCGUUUUAGUAAACUUUGGACAAUGGUACACGAUGUGUAUGUCAUAUUGAUACCAGAUGAAUUAAUAGAUUUAAAAUCAAUAUUUUAUUUAAAUAUUUAAUCAUUUUUCUAUACUACUGAAUCUUUAUUAAGAGUAGAAUAAGGUAACAUCUUAAUAAGAUGUGUGAAAAUUAGCGACAUCAAUCAACCAGACUUGUAAGGGUUUUAUUAGGACCCGACACUCCAAACCACAAAGAUAACCAAGUACAACCCACACUUGAAGGGUCUCAAAAAGCGCUCAAAAAACCUCGUGCAAACUUAGGUAGAAUAAGGUAACAUCUUAAUAAGAUGUUUUUGUUUUCACACAGUCAGUUACAAGUCAACAAAAAAGAAAUGAAUAUUGACACUGGGUGUUUAUUUCUGAAUUGGUAUGGUAUUAGUCUUAGGAGAAAAAUAGAUAUUGUCUUUAUAAUUUUUGUGAACAAUACUGUUUACACAAAGUAUAUGAUGCAUUUUAAUAUUUUGAAGUUUAAGAUUACAAGCAUUAUGAAGAUCAUUUUAUUGUCGAUCACAUUUUAAGUAAAUUGAUAAAUAAAUUUCAUUUUUAUA
rnacentral:misc_RNA from 1 species